rnacentral:rRNA from 1 species
CAGCAGCCGCGGGAAUACGAAGGGGGCUAGCGUUGCUCGGAAUGACUGGGCGUAAAGGGCGCGUAGGCGGCGAUCAAAGUCAGGCGUGAAAUUCCUGGGCUCAACCUGGGGGCUGCGCUUGAUACUUGGUUGCUUGAGUGGGGAAGAGGGUCGUGGAAUUCCCAGUGUAGAGGUGAAAUUCGUAGAUAUUGGGAAGAACACCGGUGGCGAAGGCGGCGACCUGGUCCUUGACUGACGCUGAGGCGCGAAAGCGUGGGGAGCAAACAGGAUUAGAUACCCCAGUAGUCCCUGUCUCUUAUAA